rnacentral:misc_RNA from 1 species
GAUGAAUCCCCCUGAGCGGAGGGGCAACCAGUCACUGCUGGACGUAAUGUUGCGGGUUUGCUGAGUGAUGCAAGUCCACCGGGAGGCACCCGGCAUC